GAUGAACGCUGGCGGCGUGCCUAACACAUGCGAGUCGAGCGAAGCACUUACUUUAGAUUUCUUCGGAAUGACGAAGUUUGUGACUGAGCGGCGGACGGGUGAGUAACGCGUGGGCAACCUGCCCUGUACAGGGGGAUAACAGUUAGAAAUGACUGCUAAUACCGCAUAAGCCCACAGCUUCGCAUGAAGCAGUGGGAAAAACUCCGGUGGUACAGGAUGGGCCCGCGUCUGAUUAGCUAGUUGGUAAGGUAACGGCUUACCAAGGCGACGAUCAGUAGCCGACCUGAGAGGGUGACCGGCCACAUUGGGACUGAGACACGGCCCAAACUCCUACGGGAGGCAGCAGUGGGGAAUAUUGCACAAUGGGGGAAACCCUGAUGCAGCGACGCCGCGUGAGCGAUGAAGUAUUUCGGUAUGUAAAGCUCUAUCAGCAGGGAAGAAAGUGACGGUACCUGACUAAGAAGCCCCGGCUAACUACGUG
rnacentral:rRNA from 1 species